AAACUGACGAAGAAUAAAAGGCGAAGUUAGCGCGAAAAGGUGGAACAGCUGAGAAGGUUGUUAAAAAAGCCCCUAACUGCUACUAAUGCCGAGAUAUUUGAGUUGGCAGAAACAAAAAAACAUCGCAGAGCAGCGAGAAGAAACUAGUUAACGUGCUGGAUGCUGUUUUCAAGCCUGAAGUUCGCUGAUCCAGAGCAGUCUUUCUACAAACAUGUCUGAAGUCCGGCAGCUGAGGGACAUGUUGAACCUACAGCUAACACCUGCCGAUGAAGAUAUGAUCACAGACCAGGAAGAAGAAAAGUGUCAUUUAAAAGAAGAGAACAAAAGAGACAUGCAGCUAUUGUUGGUGAUUAAAGAAGAAACUCUCCCUGAACACCAGGAAGGGAAUC